CAGCAGCCGCCGCGGUAAAACAGAGGGUGCGAGCGUUAAUCGGAUUUACUGGGCGUAAAGCGUGCGUAGGCGGCUUCUUAAGUCGGAUGUGAAAUCCCUGAGCUUAACUUAGGAAUUGCAUUCGAUACUGGGAAGCUAGAGUAUGGGAGAGGAUGGUAGAAUUCCAGGUGUAGCGGUGAAAUGCGUAGAGAUCUGGAGGAAUACCGAUGGCGAAGGCAGCCAUCUGGCCUAAUACUGACGCUGAGGUACGAAAGCAUGGGGAGCAAACAGGAUUAGAUACCCCUGUAGUCCCUGUCUCUUAUAC
rnacentral:rRNA from 1 species